UACGAAGGGGGCUAGCGUUGUUCGGAAUUAUUGGGCGUAAAGGGCUCGUAGGCGGUUUGUCGCGUCGGGAGUGAAAACACCGGGCUUAACUCGGUGCUUGCUUUCGAUACGGGCAGACUAGAGGUAUGCAGGGGAGAACGGAAUUCCUGGUGUAGCGGUGAAAUGCGCAGAUAUCAGGAGGAACACCGGUGGCGAAGGCGGUUCUCUGGGCAUUACCUGACGCUGAGGAGCGAAAGUGUGGGGAGCGAACAGG
rnacentral:rRNA from 1 species